AAAGUAGGAAGAUGGCAUCUCCAGGUGGGGCACCCAGAGAAGGAUAUCAUCUGCUGUUUCCACAACAUCUGAUGACUCUACUGGGCCUUUCCUAUGUCACCGGCACAAGCUUUAAUAUUUACAGCAAUAAUGUAAUGUGCAUCCGUGGAACACAACUCGACAUUAACCUCGGAACGGGAGUAGCAACUGUGCACGUACAUGAGCGUCCUCGCUGCCCCAUCCCAUCCUGCCAGUGCCCCUCUGCGGCCCCAGAUGCACCCUGAAUCAUCAUUCCCAUGCUUACACUUUUAUUUAGCUUUGUCUUAUCUUUAGAGUCUUUUAAAAGAUGCCCAACC
rnacentral:lncRNA from 1 species